CAUUCGCUGCUUGCUGCUGCUAGUCCGUAAACAAGCAGUCUGAUGCUGCAAAACCUGCUUAUAAAAAAAAGUAAAUUAAUAGUGUUUGAUGUAGACAGUCGGAGUGACGGAUUCGAGGGCACCAUUGAAAGUGAAAGCACCAGGACUCUCCCGUCAGGUAUAUUUGACUGUCAGAACUGGCUGAGAUGGAUGAGCAGAGUGUUGAGAGUAUAGCGGAAGUCUUCCGCUGCUUCAUUUGCAUGGAAAAGCUGCGUGAUGCCCGUCUCUGCCCUCACUGUUCCAAACUGUGCUGUUUCAGCUGCAUACGGCGAUGGCUGACUGAACAGAGAGCUCAAUGUCCCCACUGUCG